GCCUGCUGCAAAAUAUUCUGUUUCGUAUUACUCUUACCACCUUCCCAUAAAAAUCUGAAGAAACGCCACAGAACCUGAUCAAAGUUUAAAGUCAGACUUUGUUAUUGAAUUAUGAUGAUUUUUUUUUAUUGUAGGUAAAAGCUCGGCCAAGAAACUGACAAAAAAGGAGGUGGAUGCUGCACUGCUGUGUGUUACAAAAGCUAAACCAGGACCGACCUUUUUUAGAGAGCUUGGUGAUAAAGGGCUGAUAUCUUAUGCAGAGUACCUAUUCUUGCUGACAAUCCUUACAAAACCUCAGACUGGAUUUCAGAUUGCUUUUAAAAUGUUAGAUACGGAUGGCAAUGAGCAAGUUGAAAAGAAAGAAUUUUUUAAGAUGCAGAGAAUCAUUGGAAAGGAAGAUGAUUUGAAAACAGCUGGAGAUGAAACCAUAUUUCAGGUAUGAA